UAGGGAAUAUUGCACAAUGGGCGAAAGCCUGAUGCAGCAACGCCGCGUGCGCGAUGAAGGCCUUCGGGUCGUAAAGCGCUUUUCGGGGAGAUGAGGAAGGACAGUAUCCCCGGAAUAAGGCUCGGCUAACUACGUGCCAGCAGCCGCGGUAAAACGUAGGAGCCAAGCGUUAUCCGAAUUCACUGGGCGUAAAGCGCGUGCAGGCGGCAUGAUAAGUUGGAUGUGAAAUCUCCUGGCUCAACUGGGAGGGGACGUUCAAUACUGUCAAGCUAGAGGACGGCAGAGGGAGGUGGAAUUCCCGGUGUAGUGGUGAAAUGCGUAGAUAUCGGGAGGAACACCAGUGGCGAAAGCGGCCUUCUGGGCCGAUCCUGACGCUCAGACGCGAAAGCUAGGGGAGCGAACGG
rnacentral:rRNA from 1 species